rnacentral:rRNA from 1 species
GAUGAACGCUGGCGGCGUGCUUAACACAUGCAAGUCGAACGAAGCACCUUAUUUGAUUUUCUUCGGAACUGAAGAUUUGGUGACUGAGUGGCGGACGGGUGAGUAACGCGUGGGUAACCUGCCCUGUACAGGGGGAUAACAGUUAGAAAUGACUGCUAAUACCGCAUAAGACCACAGCACCGCAUGGUGCAGGGGUAAAAACUCCGGUGGUACAGGAUGGACCCGCGUCUGAUUAGCUGGUUGGUGAGGUAACGGCCCACCAAGGCGACGAUCAGUAGCCGGCUUGAGAGAGUGAACGGCCACAUUGGGACUGAGACACGGCCCAAACUCCUACGGGAGGCAGCAGUGGGGAAUAUUGCACAAUGGGGGAAACCCUGAUGCAGCGACGCCGCGUGAGUGAAGAAGUAUCUCGGUAUGUAAAGCUCUAUCAGCAGGGAAGAAAAUGGCGGUACCUGACUAAGAAGCCCCGGCU